GCCAUUUUCGAGUGAUGCCUGAUCUCAUCAAUCUAGCGGGAGAGACAGGAUAACCUGUCCGAGAGUAUAGCGCCACUAUGACUCCGCCGGAAAAAUUACUUUAAAAAUCGCCAAAAAUUACUUGGAGCAAAGGGCAGUCGGCGGAGCUUCGCCAAGGCUGGCGCAGUCGGUUUAAUAAUGAUAGAAUGAAGACCACAAUAAAAGAGACCUCUACUUAGCUCAGCAAUUCUUACCUUUCUUACCUAUUUGAUGAAGAUGUCUUUUGAAAGGUGUACUGCAAGGAACAAAAUGUUUGUAAAUUCUCCUUUUACCAAGGUAAAGAUCAAAUUUUAUAAAUUUACUUGUUUGUUUAUACAAGGAAAAAUAACUUCAUAUAUUGAAUAUAUUCAAAAGUUUAAGCAUUUAGUUGUAUUGCCCUGUUAAGUUGGCAUAGCAAAUAAAUGCUUUUCUUUUCCUCAUUUUAUUCUUUGUGUUUCCUAACCUAUAGCACUGUGCUGGGCACAGAAUGGACUUCAGUUAAGUUUUUGAUGUAGAAAUGUUUUAUUAUUCUACUUAAAAUCUCCUUAAAAAUAAUUAUGCAUAUUACAUCAAUGUUAUAAUGUUUAAACAUAGAUUUUUUUACAUGCAUUCUUUUUUUCCUGAAAGAAAAUAUUUUUUAUAUUCUUUAGGCGCGAAUGUGUGUUUAAAAAAAAUAAAACCUUGGAGUAAAG
rnacentral:lncRNA from 1 species